rnacentral:rRNA from 1 species
AGAGUUUGAUCAUGGCUCAGGAUGAACGCUGGCGGUCUGCUUAACACAUGCAAGUCGAACGGAAGUAGCAAUACUUUAGUGGCGGACGGGUGAGUAACGCGUGAGAAUCUACCUUCAGGACGGAGACAACAGUUGGAAACGACUGCUAACCCCCGAUGUACCGCAAGGGCAAAUAUUUAUAGCCUGAAGAAGAGCUCGCGUCCGAUUAGCUAGUUGGGGGGGUAAAAGCCCACCAAGGCGACGAUCGGUAGCUGGUCUGAGAGGACGAUCAGCCACACUGGGACUGAGACACGGCCCAGACUCCUACGGGAGGCAGCAGUGGGGAAUUUUCCGCAAUGGGCGCAAGCCUGACGGAGCAAGACCGCGUGGGGGAGGAAGGCUCUUGGGUUGUAAACCCCUUUUCUCUGGGAAGAACAAAAUGACGGUACCAGAGGAUCAGCUUCGGAUUCCCCUC